CCUACGGGGGGCAGCAGUGAGGAAUAUUGGUCAAUGGCCGGAAGGCUGAACCAGCCAAGCCGCGUGAAGGACGAAGGUGCCAAGCAUUGUAAACUUCUUUUGUCAAGGGACAAAAUCAGGCUCGAGAGCCUGACCGAGGGUACGUGAAGAAAAAGCAUCGGCUAACUCCGUGCCAGCAGCCGCGGUAAUACGGAGGAUGCGAGCGUUAUCCGGAUUUCUUGGGUUUAAAGGGUGCGUAGGCGGGCUGUUAAGUCAGCGGUCAAAGCCCGGGGCUCAACCCCGGCGAGCCGUUGAAACUGGCUGUCUUGCGCUGUCGAGCGGUAUGCGGUAUGCGCCGUGUAGCGGUGAAAUGCUUCGCUAUUGCGCAGAACUCCGAUUGCGACGGCAGCAUACCGGCGGCGAUCUGACGCUGCGGCACGAAAGCGUGGGUAUCGAACAGGAUUAGCUACCCCAGUAGUC
rnacentral:rRNA from 1 species